UAUAAAAUUAACUUUAUGUAUUACCAUUUUGACGUGCAAUGUGUUUAAAGACAGUUCGGAGGAGUCGCUUGAAGGGGACCGCUGCGAUGCCGGUAAUGGUGAAAUGGGAUUUUGUAUUGAAAUAACCUAUUGCGUAGAAGCUAUAACUGCUGCUAUGAAUGGAAGGCCGUUUAACAUCUGUUCGUAUGACGGUUUAUUUCCUACCGUAUGCUGCUUGGAAUCUGAU